GGGAGGAAUGGCCAACCAAACAAGGAAGAGGAGACAAUUGCGAGAAUUAAUUUAGGAUACAGGGUAUACACAAUGCCAGUGGACCAACAAUGGAAAAAAUAGCAAGAAGAGAAGAACUCCAUCUCUCACCAAGAAGAGUCCAGAAAGGGGAAUUAACUGCAGCCAACUAUGGAAGACAGGAAUUGAUGACAGCUAUUAACCCACUAACCUUAGGACCCUUACGUUAAGAAGAGUGCAUCACCUGCCAACAAGAAUACCAAGAGAAGGGAUAGAGCUUUGGCCAACCCAAAAGGAUGUAGAGAAGCAAGGCCAAUCAGAAGCAUGAGACCGCUUGACAGCUAGAGAGCCCAGAAAGGUUUGGUUACCAGACAUAAGGUGAGAUGAAUUCCUAAUUAACAUUAGUGAUCCUGGAGGUACUAUAGGCAUGAAUUGCCCUGCAAUGUUCAUAUACAAUUUAGUACAUUCUCUCUUUUUUACUGCUGCUGACUAGGACAGGCAUGUUUCUGUCAGCUGCAUUGUCUAGUACUGUACUGUACAUUGUUAGACACAGACUAUUCUACCAUAGUGUUUCUCUGUUUCUGCCAUCACUACAUAUAGGUAUAGUUAUUAUAGAAAAACACUAUUGGCACUGCGAGCAGGGUAUUUUAGUUUGACAGUGGGGUCAAUGCUUUGCCUGCACAUGUUAAUGCCUGUCGCCAUCUUGGAUUAUUUCCAAGAUAUAGCUGUAUUUAUUUUAUUUACUUUUGUACAUACAUUUAUACUUGUGUGUGUUGUUAAGCAGAUUAGCCACUACAUGUAGAUUUAUAUUUUGCCCUUUUAUGGGUUGUUGGGUGAG